GACGAACGCUGGCGGCGUGCUUAACACAUGCAAGUCGAACGGAAAGGCCCCUUUGGGGGUACUCGAGUGGCGAACGGGUGAGUAACACGUGAGUAACCUGCCCUUGACUUCGGGAUAACUUCAGGAAACUGGGGCUAAUACCGGAUAGGAAUCCUUGCUGCAUGGUGGGGGUUGGAAAGCUUCGGCGGUUUUGGAUGGACUCGCGGCUUAUCAGCUUGUUGGUGGGGUAGCGGCUUACCAAGGCUUUGACGGGUAGCCGGCCUGAGAGGGCGACCGGCCACAUUGGGACUGAGAUACGGCCCAGACUCCUACGGGAGGCAGCAGUGGGGAAUAUUGCACAAUGGGCGGAAGCCUGAUGCAGCAACGCCGCGUGCGGGAUGGCGGCCUUCGGGUUGUAAACCGCUUUCAGCAGGGGCGAAGCUUUUGUGACGGUACCUGCAGAAGAAGCACCGGCUAACUACGUG
rnacentral:rRNA from 1 species